GCGGGUGUAGCUCAGUGGUAGAGCAUCAGAUUGUGGCUCUGAGGGUCGUGGGUUCAAUCCCCAUCAUUCGCCCCA
rnacentral:tRNA from 1 species